rnacentral:rRNA from 1 species
ACGGUACCGUAAGAAGAAGCACCGGCUAACUACGUGCCAGCAGCCGCGGUAAUACGUAGGGUGCGAGCGUUAAUCGGAAUUACUGGGCGUAAAGCGUGCGCAGGCGGUUAUGUAAGACAGAUGUGAAAUCCCCGGGCUCAACCUGGGAACUGCGUUUGUGACUGCAUAACUAGAGUACGGCAGAGGGAGGUGGAAUUCCGCGUGUAGCAGUGAAAUGCGUAGAUAUGCGGAGGAACACCGAUGGCGAAGGCAGCCUCCUGGGCCAGUACUGACGCUCAUGCACGAAAGCGUGGGGAGCAAACAGGAUUAGAUACCCUGGUAGUCCACGCCCUAAACGAUGUCAACUAGUUGUUCGGUGAGGAGACUCAUUGAGUAACGCAGCUAACGCGUGAAGUUGACCGCCUGGGGAGUACGGCCGCAAGGUUAAAACUCAAAGGAAUUGACGGGGACCCGCACAAGCGGUGGAUGAUGUGGAUUAAUUCGAUGCAACGCGAAAAACCUUACCUACCCUUGACAUGUCAGGAAUCCUUGAGAGAUUGAGGAGUGCCCGAAAG